GGUCUUUGUGCUUUAAAACACUCCAGCACAGCUUGGUGUGAAUUACCAUGUAUUAAGGGGGCAGCCAGGGGCCAAUUGGGUCUGCUCUCCUGUGAUUCUCUAAACGCUGCAUCUGGGAUCCCUGGGUGGCGCAGCGGUUUGGCGCCUGCCUUUGGCCCAGGGCGUGAUCCUGGAGACCUGGGAUCGAAUCCCACAUCAGGUUCCCGGUGCAUGGAGCCUGCUUCUCCCUCUGCCUGUGUCUCUGCCUCUCUCUCUCUCUCUGUGACUAUCAUAAAUAAAUAUAAAAAAAAAAUUAAGCGCUGCAUCUGGUUACAGCAGUGUUGCCUGACGCACAAUUUAAAAAAAGAAGAAGAAAUACAAGACUUAAGGAAUCAGAAAUUCUGGACAUGUCAUCCAGUCAUCAAUGUUUUCACAAGCUUUCCAAGUGAUUCUUAGGUACACUCAAUUGUUAUUUUUAGCCUUUAGCCAUAUUACAGUUAGUUGAUAUAGGUUCCUCUUGGAUAUGAUAGUUUCUCAGAUUUUCUUGUUUUUGCUGACAGUUUUGAAGAGUACUGGUCAGGCAUACGUAGCAUGCUUUUUGACUGGAAUUUGUAUUAUGUUUUUCUUGUGAUUAGACUAGGCUUUUGGGUUUCUGGGAAGAAGGCUACAGAAGUAAAAUGUCAUUUUCCCCAAGAGUACAUACUAUCCAUAUGAUUUAUGACUAUUGAUGCUGAUCUUGAUCAUCUGGGCUGAAGUAGUGGUUCUCAGAUUUCUCUUUUGGGUGGAAUAUCUACAUAAUUUAUUUGGAAUUCUUCUGCAUGAGAGAUUUGUCUCCUCUCUCCAUUUGUUACCUACCCAUUCAUUUAUAGAUUUUAUACUUUGAGUUAUAAUCCAAUACUACUUUAUUUCAUUGCUCAAAUUAUUACAACUUUGGCCACCAGAAGCUCUUUCAGGUAGCUCCUGUGCUCCUUUGAUGUAUUUACAUCAGUAAGUAUGUGUUAGCACUUCCUUACUUUAUGAUGUUACAAGAUGCUCCAGGCUCAUCUUGCAUAUUUCCUGUCUCAGUCCUAGAAUCAUUCAAGUUUGAGAACAACUGUUUUAGACUAAUCAUUUGAGGAAAGAAUAUAUGCUUAGGAGGAAAACAUAGGUUCAGACCAUCAGAAAUGUAGACCAAAGUAAAGAGUUAGAUAUUAUUCUAGCCAUCUUAAACACCACUGGAAAUUUUAGUCAGGGGAGACAUAUUCUUUGAUAUAUUUCUAAAUGGAGAAUAGAUUGUAAAGGAAAGCAAGAAUGAACAUAGAGAGACAAUUUAGGAAUUUAGAGAAAACUAACAAAACUUGAACUAAAGUGGUAGGAAUGGAUAUAGUGAGAAGUGGCUGGAUAUAGUGAGAAGUGGCUUGAACUAAAGUGUAGGAGUGGAUAUAGUGAGAAGUAGCUGGAUUCAGAAUGUGUUUUGGAGGCAGAACCCAAAGUAUUCAUUGAUGGACUGAUAAAUGGCACAUGGAGAUAGAGUAGAGAGCUGAAGGGAAUGAAGGAAACAAAUCAUAGAUAAAAAAUAAAGGACCCAACUGCAUGAAAGACCUAAAUAUG
rnacentral:lncRNA from 12 species